GACUUGUGUGUGUUGCUGUUCAGCGGUCUGCAUUCAAAAGAGUGUUACGACAUGCGGCAGUGGCGCCGUAAAAUCUUCAACUGGAUCGCAACUGGACUUAAUUGCCUGGUUGCAGUCAUUCGGUUGAUCGUUUACUGUGAGAAAAUUAGAGUGUUCAAGGCAGGCAUUAUUGCAAUUGAAUAUGUUAGCAUGGAAUAAUAAGAUAGGGCUUUGGUACUAUUUUGUUGGUUUCUAGGACCAAAGUAAUGAUUGAUAGGGACAGUUGGGGGUGCUAGUAUUCAAUGGCCAGAGGUGAAAUUCUUGGAUUCAUUGAAGACUAACUUAUGCGAAAGCAUU
rnacentral:rRNA from 1 species